rnacentral:misc_RNA from 1 species
UCCGACUUAACGUCGGCAGUCUCGCUAGAGUGCCCAACUAAAUGCUGGCAACUAGAAGCGAGGGUUGCGCUCGUUGCGGGACUUAACCCAACAUCUCACGACACGAGCUGACGACAGCCGUGCAGCACCUGUCUCCGCGCCCCGAAGGGACCCUGGAUCUCUCCAGGUAGCACGGGAUGUCAAACGUGGGUAAGGUUUUUCGCGUUGCUUCGAAUUAAACCACAUGCUCCACCGCUUGUGCGGGCCCCCGUCAAUUUCUUUGAGUUUUAACCUUGCGGCCGUACUCCCCAGGCGGAGAGCUUAAUGCGUUAGCUGCGUCACCAAUAAGCAUGCUUACUGACAACUAGCUCUCAUCGUUUAAGGCGUGGACUAC